UGGUAGAGGGGACGCGGCUGUACGUGCCUGAAUGGCCGGAAGAAGAUCGCUGAAUCCGCCCCGCCGCCGCCAGUCUCAGCUCGAGGUGAGCACACUGGCCCUUAACCUAACUCUGCUUGACUUAUCGGUUUAUUAUCAUCUGCCCCUGAAAAUGCAACCUUCGCCCCUGAAAAAUUCUCAGAUUUUGUUCAGUGAUGUAGCUAUGGGGAUGCGGUGGUCUUCUAUGUGAUUGCUUUGCCUAGUCGCCGGUCGCCACACAUUGGGGAUUGGGGUAGUACUGUACAGAGGGCAGUUGGGAAUUGAACAAUCAAAUGUUUUGCAACUCGUACAGAAACUGGUGUUACUUACGCUCCUUUAGAAUUCAUUGUCCUGCUGUUGAACACAACAAUUAAAGUUUAUCAUAAUCUAGGCUGGAUACCGACGACAAUACGCUAUGGGCGAUUCUGAUGUAGCUGGUUCUAAUUCAAGUUUAACACAUUGAUGUACAUCAUUUUUUAGAGUGAAAUAGAUCUUAUAUAUUGUAUAUCAAGGGCUGUUACAAUCCUUACACAAUCAAAGGGGAAACAAAACUACUACUCCAUAAUUUUAUAGUGAAAGAGAGCUUAUAUAUUGCACAUCAGCUACAAGAGCAGCUUCCUCGUCUGUUCUAGCAUAAUAUGCAAGCUGGUGGGCAGCUCCAUUGCUCUCUCUUAUGACAUUACACAUGCAGCCUGCACUCCGGAAAAAUCUCCAUCACUCCCUCGGUCAGUCUCUUCUCUGAAUUCUUUGACAACGCCUACUACUCCGCUGUGUAGUCCAUUUCAGCCACAGCCGGCCACCCUGUAAAUUUCAGCUAACUGACGGAGGCCAACCAGCCAUCACAUCGAUAGCUUGUAAGCCUCCUCUGCCUCAGAGCACGCUCUUAUCUUUCUAAUUAGCGUAAGUGGGAUAGAUUAUUUGGAUUUAGGUACCUUUGUCUUGUUUCAUUUAAGGAUACCGUGAAAGAUCUCUUAUAAUAGAAUUUGUAAUUUCUUACAAGGUUGACAAAAUGGAAAAGAAAAAGGGGCCCAAGGCUAUAUCAGUUUAGAAUUACUUAUGACCAUUCAGGAACAGAGAGAAACAAGUCAUCUGCAUAACAGAGUACAAUCCUUCUUCCAUUACAUGUCAGAUCUGAAUUUGUCAACAGAAAACUGAAACAGAAUAAGAAUUCAUAGAAGGCAACUACAGAGAC
rnacentral:lncRNA from 1 species